GUCAAUGGACGCAAGUCUGCACCAGCCAUGCCGCGUGAAGGAUGAAGGUCCUCUGGAUUGUAAACUUCUUUUAUCUGGGACGAAAACGGGAUUUUUAUCUCAAUUGACGGUACCAGAGGAAUAAGCACCGGCUAACUCCGUGCCAGCAGCCGCGGUAAUACGGAGGGUGCGAGCGUUAUCCGGAUUUACUGGGCGUAAAGCGUGCGUAGGCGGUCUGUUAAGUCUGCUGUGAAAUCCCCGGGCUCAACCUGGGAAUGGCAGUCGAAACUGGCGGGCUAGAGUACGGUAGAGGAUGGUGGAAUUCCCGGUGUAGCGGUGAAAUGCGUAGAGAGCGGGAGGAACACCAUUGGCGAAUGCGGCCAUCUGGACCAGUACUGACGCUGAGGCACGAAAGCGUGGG
rnacentral:rRNA from 1 species